GCGGACAUGGCGGAAUUGGCAGACGCGCUAGGUUCAGGUCCUAGUCGGGGUUAUACUCGGUGCAGGUUCAAGUCCUGUUGUCCGCA
rnacentral:tRNA from 1 species